rnacentral:misc_RNA from 1 species
AUUAAAUUAAUCUAGCUUCAUUUAAUUAAUAACUCUCAUUUUUUGUCAAUAUUGGACGUUUAAAUUUAAUUGACCAAGUUUGGCUCUUACCGAAUUUAUGUUUGUCUUUUCCGUAAUACCCGAUAACUCAUUAUCUUUCUUUGCUUUGUGCUUAUUUCUUUUCAUUUUCUUGGCUUAUGAACUCAUAGACAUUCCUUCAAUUGAGUCUUCAUUAUGGGUCUUAUAGGGUUCUACUUGAAUUUAGAGUUGCACCAGACUCACUGUCAUUUUCCAGUGAGAUCACCCAACACCAGGACUUGUG